rnacentral:rRNA from 1 species
UACGUAAGGGGCAAGCGUUGUCCGGAAUCAUUGGGCGUAAAGAGCGUGUAGGCGGCUCGGUAAGUCCGCUGUAAAAGUCCAGGGCUCAACCCUGGAAAGCCGGUGGAAACUGUCGGGCUAGAGUCCGGAAGAGGCGAGUGGAAUUCCUGGUGUAGCGGUGAAAUGCGCAGAUAUCAGGAGGAACACCAAUUGCGAAGGCAGCUCGCUGGGACGUAACUGACGCUGAGACGCGAAAGCGUGGGGAGCAAACAGG